rnacentral:rRNA from 1 species
UACGUAGGGUGCGAGCGUUAAUCGGAAUUACUGGGCGUAAAGGGCGCGUAGGCGGCCUGCUAAGUCGAACGUGAAAUCCCCGGGCUCAACCCGGGAACUGCGUCCGAUACUGGCAGGCUUGAAUCCGGGAGAGGGAUGUGGAAUUCCAGGUGUAGCGGUGAAAUGCGUAGAUAUCUGGAGGAACACCGGUGGCGAAGGCGGCAUCCUGGACCGGCAUUGACGCUGAGGCGCGAAAGCCAGGGGAGCAAACGGG